ACCCUCCGGUUCCCUUUCCCAUCGGAUCCCAUGGUGAUCGUAAAAGGAGGAAAAGUAAUAUUGAAGCUGGCCUCACAGUACUUGUAGUCUGUGGGCUAGUUUCAAACAAGG
ensembl:snoRNA